UAGUCCAGAACAACCAGCCCUGUGUAGCUCUGUGUCGUUUCCACACAGCAUUCAGGAACUGGAGCGGCUCCCUCAGGAGGGAUCUUAGGUUCCUCCUGUUUUUGAACCUUCACUUAAAAUUUCACGUUCUGAAAGCAACAAAAUGAAAACUUUAAUGGUUUCUGCUGAGAGCUUUGCCCCAAACCUCUGUAUGAACUACUUAAAACUCCCCCUCCUCCAUUUCUCCCUCCCUCCCCCCUGUCCGCCCUCCCUUUCUUCUCCUUUUAAGAAGGCUGCUUACACUGUGAAGAAGGCAGAGGCUGCUUUUGAGGAUGUGGGUACCUGGCUCUUGGUCUUGAGCGGUGCGUCUCAGUGGGCUUCUGAACUGCCUCCAUCAGCAGGCGUGGAGCUGACUGGGUUAGAUAGAGAGAAGCUCCAUGUGUGCAGAACCACAAUUGUCUGUCCCCACUCAUUUCAAGGAGACCAUGCUGCAGCUGAAUGAUGGCUCCUUCAUUGGGCAAACCUGUCUGAGGAUGCUGCUUCCAACAUCUGAGGAUGCUGCUUCCAAUAUCUGAGGAUGCUGCUUCCAUCAUUUGAGGAUGCUGCUUCCAACAUCUGAGGAUGCUGCUUCCAUCAUCUGAGGAUGCUGCUUCCAUCAUCUGAGGAUAUUGCUUCCAUGACAGUGGUCCUGGUUCUGGUGGAUGUUGCAUAAACAGUAAUGCCAAAGUGGCUUUAGGUUACUGUGGAAUGUGGUCCUGCUUUGGUGAUCUGUGGGUACUGUAUCGUUCUUGUCUAUGGGACCCCUUUAAACUGCUUUCCUGUAUCAUCAAUUGUCAUCAAAUUGGCUACCACAUACCCUUUUUGUUGAUAAUAUAGCAAUCGAGUUGAAAAGAAAA